GGAAUCCUGAGGUGAGAGAAGGAAGGAAUCCUGAGGUGAGGAGAGAAGGAAGGAAUCCUGAGGUGAGCAGAGAAGGAAGGAAUCCUGAGGUGAGGAGAGAAGGAAGGAAUCCUGACGUGAGCAGAGAAGGAAGGAAUCCUGAGGUGAGAGAAGGAAGGAAUCCUGAGGUGAGAGAAGGAAGGAAUCCCGAGGUGAGCAGAGAAGGAAGGAAUCCCGAGGUGAGCAGAGAAGGAAGGAAUCCCGAGGUGAGAGAAGGAAGGAAUCCUGAGGUGAGGAGAGAAGGAAGGAAUCCUGACGUGAGCAGAGAAGGAAGGAAUCCUGAGGUGAGAGAAGGAAGGAAUCCUGAGGUGAGCAGAGAAGGAAGGAAUCCUGAGGUGAGCAGAGAAGGAAGGAAUCCCGAGGUGAGAGAAGGAAGGAAUCCUGAGGUGAGAGAAGGAAGGAAUCCUGACGUGAGCAGAGAAGGAAGGAAUCCCGAGGUGAGAAGGAAGGAAUCCCGAGGUGAGAGAAGGAAGGAAUCCUGAGGUGAGGAGAGAAGGAAGGAAUCCUGAGGUGAGGAGAGAAGGAAGGAAUCCUGAGGUGAGCAGAGAAGGAAGGAAUCCUGAGGUGAGAGAAGGAAGGAAUCCCGAGGUGAGAGAAGGAAGGAAUCCCGAGGUGAGCAGAGAAGGAAGGAAUCCCGAGGUGAGAGAAGGAAGGAAUCCCGAGGUGAGAGAAGGAAGGAAUCCCGAGGAGGAGAGAAGGAAGGAAUCCCGAGGUGAGAGAAGAAGGAAUCCUGAGGUGAGGAGAGAAGGAAGGAAUCCUGAGGUGAGAGAAGGAAGGAAUCCCGAGGUGAGCAGAG
rnacentral:lncRNA from 1 species